CAAGUUAAUUACUCAAUAUGUUUAUACAAAAACUUUAUCAAGAGAAAACCCCAAAAACUAAGAUGGUCUUCCAUGAGUAAGGCUUCUGUAGGAUGCCUUGUUGCGAGCUAGUAUUGCUCGUAGAUGCUCGAGGCUUCUUGAGACGAAUCAGGGAUAGUCUUCUUUGUUUUUUUUUGGAUUGAAUGCAGAUGUUCCUUCCUAUUUGAUCUCGCCAUGUGUUUCUGUGUGAUUCACUUUUUUUACUAGAUUUGAUUUUGCUACACACAAAAAGUUAUAAUCUGCAUAUUUAAAGUUAUUCCGCAAACGCUAAAAUGUAAAGAUCUUUAAACUUCAAAACAAAUUAAAUAAUAAUGUCUAAAUAUAUAACCCAUAAAGUUUUUACCUCAUCAUAGCCUAGUGGGGAUAAUAGACAUAUUAUCGUUUUAUGCCAGCAUAUCUAAAGUUGUUCAAAAAAACCUAAACAUAUAAAAUUCUUUAAAAAUAAAUACAAAUUAAAUAUCUCUUUCCAAAUAAAUAUCCAUAAAACUUUUAACUCGUGACAUUUAGUGGGGACAUAUUAUCGUUUUAUGCAAGUCGCCCGAUUUCCUUCAAUCAUUUUUCUCUAUUUUUUUGACUUUAUCUCGUUUUGUUUUUUCAUAAUCAUCACUGAUAUAGAUGUAUAUGGAUCGGAUUGGUUCAAAAAUUUUAAAUAUCAAAUCAAAUUAAUUACAUCUCAUUUUCAUUCAAAGAGUUCUUAUGCACAAUUAGAUUUAAGCGAACUGUCGUAGUGAAGGUGCAUGCUAUGAGAUAGUCUUUUAGUACCAAGCAUGUCGUAGUUUCAUAUUGAUCUGACGGUUCAGUUUUGUCCUGUAAAAGAAAAUUUAGAUGAGCCACUGCUGAAAUCUAACACUAUACCGUCAAGAUGUGGGUCAGCAAAGGUGGAAAAUCUCCACUUAAUGAAGUUCGAGUAGUGAAAAUAAUGAUCUCAUUAAGCUACGGAAGAUGUUAAUGUUGUUAGUUGGUAGGAUUUCUACAAGAUGUAAGAAAUUCAAGCAUGAUAAGGUUGUGGCCUAUGUUUCUAGGCAACUUAAGGUGCAUGAAAGGAAUCAUCCGACACAUGAUUUGGAAUUGUUAGCAGUGGUUUUGCUCUGAAGAUUUGGCGCCAUUAUUUGUAUGGAGUGCAUGUUGAAAGUUAAUUAAACUGGUGAGAAAGUUAAAAGUGUAAAUCUUCAAGAACUAUUUUUGUAUCUAUGGAAAAGAGGUAUUCUCAGUGUAUAGCCCCUAUAAUUUCAUCUUGGUUUUUAGUAUAUCUCUAAGUUUCAUUUUGUGUAUCUAUGCAACAUUUAUGGUAUAAAUACAUGAGGUUAAACUUAAAGAUUGUGAGGAAAAGUUAAGAGACAACUUAUUUAAUAGUUCAACUUGAAAUUAGAUUGUAUUAUCAUUUUUGUGUUACUUGAAUUGUCAAUU